UUUCAGGGAAAUGGAGUCACAGAGAGCGGAAGAAACGGAGAGACAGAGAGACAGACAGAGAGAGAAAGAGAGAGAGAGAGACAGAGAGAGAGAGAGAUUUCGAGGGGAAGACAGUGCAGGGAGAGGUAUGGCUGAUGGAUUUCAGAAGUGGGAAAGUGGGUGAUAUCUUCUCGGUUUUGACUGAGUUCGAGGGUUGUUGUGUGCUGUCCUUCGAUGAGGGUUUCGGGGGGAUGGAGACUGUGACAGAGAGUGGAAGAAAGAGAGAGAGAGAGAGAGAGAGAGAGAGAGAGAGAGAUGACGAUGGAAGGAGAGCGAAGGGGAAAGGUAUGAGUCGUCGAUUUCAGAAGUGGGGAUACGGAUUAUCCGGAUCUACCGCUGCAUGCCUGGAUUUCGAAAGAUAAGUGCUUUAAAUUUUUUUUUUUUUUCUAUCAGCUUAGAUCUGCCUGUUUGUUGUGGAUUAUUUUCGAAUUUUUUAGUGUGUUAGGUCAGAUUUUGGGGGAAUCAUCAGAGAUAUUUAUUUCCCUUAUAAGUUUUCUUUUCUCUCAUUUUGCACAUUGAUCUCUCUGUCUGCGCAUUUGUUCUCUGUCCUAAGGUCCGUAAUAUUUUUUUUUUGUUGGGGUUUUUGUAUGGCUUUUUUUUUUUCCUUUUGUUUUCCAGGUUAUAGAUCUAAUGUUCUUUUGUAUACCAAUCUUGGUUUAGUUUUCUUUUCUCUCAUUUUGCACAUUCAUCUCUCUCUCUGCGUGUUCGUUCUCUGUCUUAAGCUCGAUUAUUUAUUUUUAUUUUAUUUUUUUGGAUUUUUUUGUAUGCCUUUUUUUUUUCUUUUUGUUUUCCAGGUUAUAGAUUUAAUGCUCUUUUGUAUAACAAUCUUGGUUUAGUUUUCUUUUCUCUCAUUUUGCACAUUCAUCUCUCUGUCUGCGUGUUUGUUCUCUGUCUUAAGGUCGAUUAAUUUUUUUUUUUUUUUUUUUUUUUUGGAGUUUUUUGUAUGCCUUUUUUUUUUUCUUUUUGUUUUCCAGGUUAUAGAUCUAAUGCUCUUUUGUAUACCAAUCUUGGUUUAGUUUUCUUUUCUCUCAUUUUGCACAUUCAUCUCUCUGUCUGCGUGUUUGUUCUCUGUCUUAAGAUCGAUUAACUUUUUUUUUUUUUUUUUUUUGGAGUUUUUUGUAUGGCUUUUUUUUUCUUUUUGUUUUCCAGGUUAUACAUCUAAUGCUCUUUUGUAUACCAAUCUUGGUUUAGUUUUCCUUUCUCUCAUUUUGCACAUUCAUCUCUGUGUGCCUAUUUGUUCUCUGUCUUAAGGUCCAUUAUUAUUUUUUUUUUUUGGGGUUUUUUGUAUGCCUUUUUUUUUUUUUUUUUUUUCCAGGUUAUAGAUCUAAUGCUCUUUUGUAUACCAAUUUUGGUUUUGUUUUUCUUGGAAAAUUGUUUUUAUCUGAUUGUGGAUUCGUGGGUUUUAAUUUCUAUCGUUUGUUGCAGGUUGCAAAGCAGGAAGUUCUCACCUGAAGCUUCAGUUUAAGAGAAAAAAAAAAUGGUGAAAGAGAUCGAUCGAAAGGAACAACAAAUUCUAGGAGGGGUUUUGGUA